UAGGGAAUCUUCCGCAAUGGACGCAAGUCUGACGGAGCAACGCCGCGUGAGUGAAGAAGGAUUUCGGUUCGUAAAACUCUGUUGUUAGAGAAGAACAGCGCAUAGAGUAACUGUUAUGCGUGUGACGGUAUCUAACCAGAAAGCCACGGCUAACUACGUGCCAGCAGCCGCGGUAAUACGUAGGUCCCGAGCGUUGUCCGGAUUUAUUGGGUGUAAAGCGAGCGCAGGCGGUUAGAAAAGUCUGAAGUGAAAGGCAGUGGCUCAACCAUUGUAGGCUUUGGAAACUGUUUAACUUGGGUGCAGAAGGGGAGAGUGGAAUUCCAUGUGUAGCGGUGAAAUGCGUAGAUAUAUGGAGGAACACCGGUGGCGAAAGCGGCUCUCUGGUCUGUAACUGACGCUGAGGCUCGAAAGCGUGGGGAGCGAACAGG
rnacentral:rRNA from 1 species